UACGUAGGGUGCAAGCGUUGUCCGGAAUUAUUGGGCGUAAAGAGCUCGUAGGCGGUUUGUCGCGUCUGCCGUGAAAUCCCGAGGCUCAACCUCGGGCUUGCGGUGGGUACGGGCAGGCUAGAGUGCGGUAGGGGAGAUUGGAAUUCCUGGUGUAGCGGUGGAAUGCGCAGAUAUCAGGAGGAACACCGAUGGCGAAGGCAGAUCUCUGGGCCGUUACUGACGCUGAGGAGCAAAAGCAUGGGGAGCGAACAGG
rnacentral:rRNA from 1 species